UACAGGGGGUGCAAACGUUGCUCGGAAUCAUUGGGCGUAAAGCGCACGUAGGCGGUUUGUUAUGUCGGAUGUGAAAGCCCUUGGCUCAACUGAGGAAGUGCAUCCGAAACUGGCAAGCUAGAGUACUAAAGAGGGUCGCGGAAUUCCCGGUGUAGAGGUGAAAUUCGUAGAUAUCGGGAGGAACACCGGUGGCGAAGGCGGCGACCUGGGUAGAUACUGACGCUGAGGUGCGAAAAGCGUGGGGAGCAAACAGG
rnacentral:rRNA from 1 species